rnacentral:rRNA from 1 species
GUGGGGAAUUUUGGACAAUGGGCGCAAGCCUGAUCCAGCCAUUCCGCGUGCAGGAUGAAGGCCUUCGGGUUGUAAACUGCUUUUGUACGGAACGAAAAGCCUCUGGUUAAUACCCGGGGGUCAUGACGGUACCGUAAGAAUAAGUACCGGCUAACUACGUGCCAGCAGCCGCGGUAAUACGUAGGGUGCGAGCGUUAAUCGGAAUUACUGGGCGUAAAGCGUGCGCAGGCGGUGAUGUAAGACAGUUGUGAAAUCCCCGGGCUCAACCUGGGAACUGCAUCUGUGACUGCAUUGCUGGAGUGCGGCAGAGGGGGAUGGAAUUCCGCGUGUAGCAGUGAAAUGCGUAGAUAUGCGGAGGAACACCGAUGGCGAAGGCAAUCCCCUGGGCCUGCACUGACGCUCAUGCACGAAAGCGUGGGGAGCAAACAGGAUUAGAAACCCGUGUAGUCC